AGAUCUGUCCAAACCUCUUUGUGAAAGGCUGAGCUGGUUAGAUCUUUGAAGCUGAGCAGAGCUGGUGCUGGUUAGUACUUGGAUGGGAGACCGCUGGGAAUUCCAGGUGUUGAAGCCA
rnacentral:rRNA from 1 species